rnacentral:rRNA from 1 species
GAUGAACGCUGGCGGCGUGCCUAAUACAUGCAGGUCGAGCGAACGGACGAGAAGCUUGCUUCUCUGAUGUUAGCGGCGGACGGGUGAGUAACACGUGGAUAACCUACCUAUAAGACUGGGAUAACUUCGGGAAACCGGAGCUAAUAUCGGAUGAUAUUUUGAACCGCAUGGUUCAAAAGUGAAAGACGGUCUUGCUGUCACUUAUAGAUGGAUCCGCGCUGCAUUAGCUAGUUGGUAAGGUAACGGCUUACCAAGGCAACGAUGCAUAGCCGACCUGAGAGGGUGAUCGGCCACACUGGAACUGAGACACGGUCCAGACUCCUACGGGAGGCAGCAGUAGGGAAUCUUCCGCAAUGGGCGAAAGCCUGACGGAGCAACGCCGCGUGAGUGAUGAAGGUCUUCGGAUCGUAAAACUCUGUUAUUAGGGAAGAACAUAUGUGUAAGUAACUGUGCACAUCUUGACGGUACCUAAUCAGAAAGCCACGGCUAACUACGUG